GAGAUAACUUAAGUCGGGUUUGUCCGCUUGGUGCUUCUGCAAUGAUUGAUGGAGUUCCAGGGGUUGAUGUUGGGGCUUUUGUUACAACCGGAGGUAGUGGUGGCUCAGUGACAUCAUCAUCUACGAAAACUGGGUUUGGAGCUUGGGCUGGAGGUAAGGCCAGAGGAUUCAUAAUGGCUAAGAGGCCACCGGGUUGAAUAGGUAACAUAUAAGGUGGUAUUUCUUUUCUACCCAAACAUCGAUUCCCUACAAAAUAAAAACAGAGCCAGGCAUUGAUGUUAAUUAUUUUGUGUUGUGAGACCUUUAGAUGCAAAUUUUCUGUCACUUACUUUUGUAUCUUGCAGCUGUGAAAGGGAACUCUGUGAUGGUUCCACUAACACCGGCGCCAGAGAUAUAUGUGUUUAUCUCAACAGUUGCAUCAGCGAAGAAGUCAUAUGGUUGCGAUACAAACUCAUUCCGAAACAGUUCCACAUAAACCGUGAGCUGAGACUUCUUCAGUCUCUCCACAACAUUGGUUUGCUUAGUGAGAAACGACUCAGAGUUAGGAAAGACUGAAUCUUUGUUAAUGACAACAGCGUUAGCAAAUUUCUUUAUGUCUUCAAUGGCGUAGUCAUGAAUAUUACUAAUUGUUUCUUCAAUUUUGUAGACAGUCUCGUACUUGAUCUGCUUCCUGAAGUCAACUAGAACUGAGCUGUUGGUAGACUGAAUCAUGACCUUUGUUGUGGUUGUCCCAUUGUUGUAACCAGUUUUCGUGAGUGUAUCGAGAACCGCUUGAACCACGUCGAGCCCUUGCUUCUCUCUCAAGUAUGCUGCAUUCUGGGGGACACAAAAAAAAAAAAAAGCAUAGAAGAUAUCACGGUCGGUUUGAUAAAAUCUCAAGACUAAGAGGUACACUAAGAACUCACCUCUACACUGAUCAAAACACCGGAGAGAGAAGUGUAAUUCUUUGCCAGGUCUAGGAAUUGGGAAAGGGAAAUGAGCGUCCCUGAAUUUUUCUCUUUCGGAUUUCUGGAAAUACGGUAAACCCUGAAGUAGGGGUUUGAAAUAGCAGCUGCGCAAAAAGAUGGGAGAAUGUGAAAUUGUUACGAAAACAGAUAUUUGCAUUGUAUAAGUAACCUCUUUAAGUUAAGUAGGACAAGAAACAAAGCUCUGUGAUUAGUUAUUUGGUUACUAUAAAUAGUAGGAACAAGAGUGUGCAUUUGUCUGAAGCAAUAAUGGAAAAUUUGAAGGGAAACUUACGAGUCAAGUUCUGGAUCUCAGGCCAUGUGAGACUAAAAGUGUAUAUUCCAGCAACUGAGCUAAUCUCAGGAACAGGAGUUGAACGGUUGCUAUAAAGAGUUUGGGUGACCGUUGUACUGUCCCCGAGAUUUAUUGAACUUAAGCAAAAGGGUAUACCGUCGCUAGACAUUUGGACUGAGCAAUCAAUAACAUCAGCACCAUCUUUGAUUGCGUUCUCAUAUGCAACGUCUGUACAUCCAGGAUAGUCCCCACUCGCACCAUUUUUUGAUAUAACAAGAAAAUCCACUGAGCCAUAGACCAUUUGGUAGAUGAUAAAGUUAAUUAUAAGUUUAUUUUUUAUUCGUAAGAACAGAAAAAAAAAAUCUAUAUUAUGUUUACUCUCAUUACCUUGUUUUGUAGCGUUUCUGCCAAUGUGGGAGAAGCAGUCUGAAGAAAAUAUGAAAACAAAUGUCUGAUUUUAUGUAUUUCUAGUAAUGUUUUACAGACAAAUUUAAAUGGUGUCUAUAGAAGAGAUUUUGCUUACCAACGGUCGCAGAUGCAGUGAUGGGAAAAUCAGAGAGCACACCGUCAACCGAAAAAUCACCAUUGUCCACAAAAGAUAGAUACUCAGACACUGGAUCCCAACUGUAGUUAUAUGCAAUAUCAACAUCAUUUGCAAAACCGGACACAUAUACUUGUAAUCCUGCUUUGUGAGCAUCUUGAACUAAGGAUGUAUGAGGAACCAAGUACUGUUCCUCAUCAAUUGGCAAUAUGUAAGACUUGGGAACAAGAAUCCCUGAAGCAAACGUCUUGACAAACGUUAGGUUACUCAAGAUUGAACCGUAGGUUCGGUUCAUUGUCGGCUCGAAAUCCUCUUUCCUAAGAAACUGGAACACAAAACUCGGACCAUUACGUCCGAAACGGCCGGCAAUUUUCCUAAAGAAAUUCACCUCAGGGGAAGAUAUGAAGUCAAUGGAAACAGUUCUUGAAACUGAUAACAGAAAACUGCUCAUGCUCAAAUUUUGUUGCUCAUAGAACGCAUCAUGCUGAACAUUUAACCAAAAACCUUUUGGUAAUAACUGCGUGUUUACAUCUUGAAUCGUCAAAAUCGCAAAUCCGCUUCCAUCAAAUCUUUCUGAGCGCGAAAAUAUACCUCGGAUCACUAAGGUAAAAAGAAAAAAUAUUUGUGAGAAGUUACAAGAAAUUCCAAACAUCAACAAAAGCACUAACGGAAUCAUAAACACUUACAAGAAACAUUCUGGAGCUCUGUCAAGGAGAAAUCAAUGGGGAACCAACCCUGAGUAGUGACUCCAUUAACCCGGUAAGAUUUUCGACGAGUUGAGUAAACAUCUUGUAUAUUUGAAGCAUUGGCCAGAUUUAAAUCAGGGAAGCAAAUCCCAACUUCAUCUUUAGUUAGCUGAACAUCACACCAUAGAAUAACAUCGGCUAAACUUGCUUGCAUUGCAAAUUGGUAUGCAGCUAGACUUGAAUCUGGAAACAAUCCAGAAAAGCCACCACGAGCAAUCACUAGUGGAGCAUCACCUAGUAAAUAAAUAAAAAAGUAGUUUGAAGUUAUUUUAAUACUUGGAGACAAAAGUAUUUUAUGCUUCCACAAUCAAAGCAGUUAUUAGACUAAUAUUUGGGAACUGCCCUUUAUUGGCUAUAAUCCCCAAACCAAAGAUAAACUUGUCAAUAAUUGUUCUUCUGAAAUCAAAAUGAAGUUAUUAUCCCAGCUUUUACUACACAUAUAGAUAAAGAAAAAAAAAGUACUACUAGUACUUAAGUUCUCUUGUUUUCUUGGAAACCAUGUGCAAAACAAAGAGAAAAAGUAAGAACAACUCUCACCAUUGAGCGUCUGCCAUCGACUUGUUGAUCUUUGAGCAUCAAUUUGAGCAACAAACAGCUGAAUCAGAACAACACCACAGAAUAAAAGCGUUGAAGAUCGUAUUACAAUCUUUGUCGGAUUACCUGGCCGGGAAUUCAUCGGUAACUUACAUAAAUGGAAAAACAAAAAAUAGUAUAUUUAAUGUUUAAUGUUUAAUUUUGUAAUGCAUAAGCAUUGAACACAUAGAGGAGAAGUACAGAGAGACUCAAGAGCUUUUUUAUUAUCAAUUGGCUUUAUUAGUUGACUCAUAGACUCAUAGUGAACAAAUGGAGAGAGAGUCAAGAACAAUAAUCAAAUGGCUUUAUUAGUUGACUCAUAGUGGACCAAUACAAAGAGACUAGCCUUUUUUUUUUUUAAACAAUUUAUUACUUGACUCAGAAAGACUCGUCUCUUCGUUAAGUUAAUUAUAUGCCAAACACACAAUAUAUAGACAGAGAAAGAUUGGUUAUUGGAUGUUCCUUUAGCAUUUUUUUUUCUUUCUUGGAUAUGAUUAAUGGUGGUGAAGAAAAAUAACAUAUAAUGGUCAUUUGCUAGAUCAACUAUGAUAUAUAAUCUUUGUCCUUCAUAUUUUUUUUUGUUACUAUUUCUAAAACCUUUGUUUAUACUAUCACCUAAACGUCUAUACCCCGAAAAUGAGGUAAAACAUGGAAAAGAAUCUUUAGUGGGCCUUGGGCAUUUGUCCUCUCUGCAAAACAUGAAAUUAAAAUCUUUAGUGGGACUGAGAUAGGGGACUUGCCGGUAAACCAAUACCAUACUCUCUCUUAUCUCCUAUCUCAUAAUCUUUCUAUCGUCAUCCUUUAAAGCUGACCAAAGAGGAUUUAGGAGACUUGCAAAGUCAAUACAUAGUUGUUUAUUACUGUCUCUAGAGAAUUGAGACAGAAACAACAACAAUGAUGAAGUAGUAAUUUCUCGAAUGGUUUUAAAAGACAAAUAAAAGUCUAAUCUGAAGACACCUUGAGUUAUUUGUAGAUAAAACUUAAAGUCUUGAUAUCUCAUCUUUAAGGGUGUAACGCCUCAAAUGUUUUAUCGUGAUAGAAAUCUUUCUCAAAUAGUCUAACAUAGUCAUAAAAAACUUGUUUAAGAGAAAAGUCUUCUCAUGAAUUCGGAAUGUAGACAAUAUAUGAGAUUUUUUGAAUAAAUAUAUAGCUAGUUUCAUGCUUUGAUAGGUUCCAUGGUGGCUUCUUGGAUCAUCCUUCUGUAUAAACAGAGACUUCCUCUGAAAGAGUAGAAGAUUCUUGAAAAUUUGAUCUUGGGAUUUGCUGCAAAACAGGCCUAGGAGGGACUUCAAGAGCUUCCAAGCUUCCUUCCAUCAUCUCUACAACUUUGUUCAUCGCUGGGCGAUCCACCGGAGAAGGCUGAAUACACCACAAACCCACCAAUGUCAUCUUUUUUGCAAGCUCAUCUUCUACGUUGUUAAUUCCAUCCUCAAUAUGCCUUCCGGACUUGCCUGAUUCAAGAUCUCUAUAUACCCAUUCAGGAAAGUACAUUGAACUUGUGUUAGAAGGAGAGGCUUGAUUAGCUUUUUCUUUGUUCCUUGCACCAAUUAUCUCAAGGACUAACAUUCCAUAGCUAUACACAUCUGAUUUGUGCGACACAUUCCCAUAAACUCUCGAGAUCAUCUCUGGUGCAAUGUACCCUAUGGUACCUCUUGUGUCCAGCAUUGACAAAAUGCUCUCUUUCUUCUCACAUAGCUUAGCGAGACCAAAGUCCGAAACUUUGGGACAAAAAUUGUCAUCUAAGAGUACAUUUUGUGGUUUAAUGUCAAAAUGUACAAUCCUUGUUUUGCAACUAUGGUGCAAGUACUCUAAACCACGGGCAACUCCUAGCGCAAUUCUAUACAGUGUCGUCCAAUCCAUAUCCACGGAGGUCUUGCCUGAGAUAAACUUAUCAAGUGACCCAUUUUCCAAAAACUCAUAUAUAAUUGCCCUUUUGGAACCUUCUGAGCAGAAACCAAGCAAGGAAACAAUGUUGAGAUGAGAAGUUCUGCUCAUGCUCGCAACCUCAUUCAUGAAGUCUUCACUAUUACCUUUUGAGUCUUUCAAGACCUUAACCGCAACCACACGGCCAUCACCAAGUGUUCCUUUAUAAACAAUUCCAAAUCCGCCUCUCCCAACAAUUUCCGCAAAUGACUUUGUAAUUCUCUUCACCUGUGCAUAAGUAUAGUGUUCCAGUGGAAUAAGAGCCUUCAGCUUCUGUUGUCUCAGCUGUGUUUCUCUCUUUCGGAGAAAACAGAAUGUUAAUGAUAAUAAGACUAGGAACAAUACAACUCCUGCUGCUGACACCGAAACUACAAAAAAAAUGGAGAAAAUGUUUGUUUUCGUACCUUCAUUUUUAAUCUUGGCAACAAAAUCAGUUUAAAAAUUUUCUGGCCAGCAUAACUCACCUAUGCGAAUUACUUUGAACAAAUUUCCUGUACAACCAUUCAACAAAAAGAAAUUUUCAGAAUGGAACCAAACUCGAUCUAGAAGUAAAGAAAAGUAAAGAACAAACUUAGAGGUUUUGCAAUGGUUGAUGAUGUUCCUGGGGUUGAGGUUGGGGAUUUUGCUAUAACCGGAGGUACUGGUGGCUCAGUAACAUCAUCAUAUGUGAAAAUCGGGUUUGGAGCUUGGGCUGGAGGUAAGGCCAGAGGAUUCAUAAUGGCUAAGAGGCCACCGGGUUGAAUAGGUAACAUGUAAGGUGGUAUUUCUUUUCUACCCAAACAUCGAUUCCCUACAAAAUAAAAACAGAGCCAGGCAUUGAUGUUAAUUAUUUUGUGUUGUGAGACCUUUAGAUGCAAAUUUUCUGUCACUUACUUUU
rnacentral:lncRNA from 1 species